UGCUGGGUGGAUCAGUGGCGAACGGGUGAGUAACACGUGAGCAACCUGCCCCUGACUCUGGGAUAAGCGCUGGAAACGGCGUCUAAUACUGGAUACGAGUAGCGACCGCAUGGUCAGCUUACCGGAAAGAUUUAUUGGUUGGGGAUGGGCUCGCGGCCUAUCAGCUUGUUGGUGAGGUAAUGGCUCACCAAGGCGUCGACGGGUAGCCGGCCUGAGAGGGUGACCGGCCACACUGGGACUGAGACACGGCCCAGACUCCUACGGGAGGCAGCAGUGGGGAAUAUUGCACAAUGGGCGCAAGCCUGAUGCAGCAACGCCGCGUGAGGGAUGACGGCCUUCGGGUUGUAAACCUCUUUUAGCAGGGAAGAAGCGAAAGUGACGGUACCUGCAGAAAAAGCGCCGGCUAACUACGUGCCAGCAGCCGCGGUAAUACGUAGGGCGCAAGCGUUAUCCGGAAUUAUUGGGCGUAAAGAGCUCGUAGGCGGUUUGUCGCGUCUGCUGUGAAAUCCGGAGGCUCAACCUCCGGCCUGCAGUGGGUACGGGCAGACUAGAGUGCGGUAGGGGAGAUUGGAAUUCCUGGUGUAGCGGUGGAAUGCGCAGAUAUCAGGAGGAACACCGAUGGCGAAGGCAGAUCUCUGGGCCGUAACUGACGCUGAGGAGCGAAAGGGUGGGGAGCAAACAGGCUUAGAUACCCUGGUAGUCCACCCCGUAAACGUUGGGAACUAGUUGUGGGGUCCAUUCCACGGAUUCCGUGACGCAGCUAACGCAUUAAGUUCCCCGCCUGGGGAGUACGGCCGCAAGGCUAAAACUCAAAGGAAUUGACGGGGACCCGCACAAGCGGCGGAGCAUGCGGAUUAAUUCGAUGCAACGCGAAGAACCUUACCAAGGCUUGACAUAUACGAGAACGGGCCAGAAAUGGUCAACUCUUUGGACACUCGUAAACAGGUGGUGCAUGGUUGUCGUCAGCUCGUGUCGUGAGAUGUUGGGUUAAGUCCCGCAACGAGCGCAACCCUCGUUCUAUGUUGCCAGCACGUAAUGGUGGGAACUCAUGGGAUACUGCCGGGGUCAACUCGGAGGAAGGUGGGGAUGACGUCAAAUCAUCAUGCCCCUUAUGUCUUGGGCUUCACGCAUGCUACAAUGGCCGGUACAAAGGGCUGCAAUACCGCGAAGUGGAACGAAUCCCAAAAAGCCGGUCCCAGUUCGGAUUGAGGUCUGCAACUCGAACCCCAUGAAAUCGG
rnacentral:rRNA from 1 species